CCUACGGGGGGCAGCAGUGGGGGAUAUUGCACAAUGGGGGGAACCCUGAUGCAGCGACGCCGCGUGGGUGAAGGAGUGCUUCGGCAUGUAAAGCCCUAUCGGCAGGGAAGAAGCAAGAAGGUACCUGACUAAGAAGCCCCGGCUAACUACGUGCCAGCAGCCGCGGUAAUACGUAGGGGGCGAGCGUUAUCCGGAUUCACUGGGUGUAAAGGGAGCGUAGACGGCCAUGCAAGUCAGGGGUGAAAGCCCGGGGCUCAACCCCGGGACUGCCUUUGAAACUGCAUAGCUGGAGUGCGGGAGGGGCAAGAGGAAUUCCUGGUGUAGCGGGGAAAUGCGUAGAUAUCAGGAGGAACACCAGCGGCGAAGGCGUCCUGCUGGACUGCGACUGACGUUGAGGCUCGAAAGCGUGGGGAGCGAACAGGAUUAGAUACCCUUGUAGUC
rnacentral:rRNA from 1 species